GAACAGGUUCCAAAGGACUUGUGUGAAUUGUGCUGGAGCUCCACGCAACAAGGGGAUGGCAAGGACAGCAGCAAGCCAUGCUGCAGAAAUUCUUGGAGUAGGAGGAAGGUAACUUGCUGCUGCUUGAUGCCAUGGUUCAUAGCACUCUAAGCAACGUGCUCCAGGGUAGUGUGGAAUUAACAUCUGAGAGACUGAGAUGAUGAUAUCCCUGUAGAUCCUGACUUCACUCUGAACCUGACCUGCUUCAGUCUGAACGUCUCUGGUAUUUUGCAGGGUCAUCAACAUACAGCAAGAGACUCUCCUCUUCUUGGAGGAAGCCCAAGC
rnacentral:lncRNA from 1 species